GAUGAACGCUGGCGGCGUGCCUAAUACAUGCAAGUCGAGCGAACAGACGAGGAGCUUGCUCCUCUGACGUUAGCGGCGGACGGGUGAGUAACACGUGGAUAACCUACCUAUAAGACUGGGAUAACUUCGGGAAACCGGAUCUAAUACCGGAUAAUAUAUUGAACCGCAUGGGUCAAUAGUGAAAGACGGUUUUGCUGUCACUUAUAGAUGGAUCCGCGCCGCAUUAGCUAGUUGGUAAGGUAACGGCUUACCAAGGCAACGAUGCGUAGCCGACCUGAGAGGGUGAUCGGCCACACUGGAACUGAGACACGGUCCAGACUCCUACGGGAGGCAGCAGUAGGGAAUCUUCCGCAAUGGGCGAAAGCCUGACGCAGCAACGCCGCGUGAGUGAUGAAGGUCUUCGGAUCGUAAAACUCUGUUAUUAGGGAAGAACAAAUGUGUAAGUAACUAUGCACGUCUUGACGGUACCUAAUCAGAAAGCCACGGCUAACUACGUG
rnacentral:rRNA from 1 species